CCUACGGGAGGCAGCAGUGGGGAAUUUUGGACAAUGGGGGCAACCCUGAUCCAGCAAUGCCGCGUGAGUGAAGAAGGCCUUCGGGUUGUAAAGCUCUUUUGUCAGGGAAGAAACGGUGCGGGCUAAUAUCUCGUGCUAAUGACGGUACCUGAAGAAUAAGCACCGGCUAACUACGUGCCAGCAGCCGCGGUAAUACGUAGGGUGCAAGCGUUAAUCGGAAUUACUGGGCGUAAAGCGUGCGCAGGCGGUUUUGUAAGACUGUCGUGAAAUCCCCGGGCUCAACCUGGGAAUGGCGAUGGUGACUGCAAGGCUAGAGUUUGGCAGAGGGGGGUAGAAUUCCACGUGUAGCAGUGAAAUGCGUAGAUAUGUGGAGGAACACCGAUGGCGAAGGCAGCCCCCUGGGUCAAAACUGACGCUCAUGCACGAAAGCGUGGGGAGCAAACAGGAUUAGAUACCCUGGUAGUCCACGCCCUAAACGAUGUCUACUAGUUGUCGGGUUUUAAUUAAACUUGGUAACGCAGCUAACGCGUGAAGUAGACCGCCUGGGGAGGUACGGUCGCAAGAAUUAAAAACUACAAAAUUAGUAAGUUAGUUAGCGNGNGAGNGCGACGACGACGACGAGGAGGAGGAG
rnacentral:rRNA from 1 species